UACAGAGGUCUCAAGCGUUGUUCGGAUUCAUUGGGCGUAAAGGGUGCGUAGGCGGCGCGGUAAGUCGGGUGUGAAAUCUCGGAGCUUAACUCCGAAACUGCAUUCGAUACUGCCGUGCUUGAGGACUGGAGAGGAGACUGGAAUUUACGGUGUAGCGGUGAAAUGCGUAGAUAUCAGGAGGAACGCCCGUGGCGAAAGCGAGGUCCUGGACGUUUACUGACGCUGAGACGCGAAAGCCAGGGGAGCGAACGGG
rnacentral:rRNA from 1 species